ensembl:processed_transcript Platr21 pluripotency associated transcript 21
GAGAGGCUGUGUGGGGUUAGGCUCCCCAGACAAGGGACUCUCUGCUGCAAAAGGGAGUCCUCCAUUUUAUGAAAAGCUGGGAAGAGCCAUCCAGUCAUGGUAUCUGCGAGGGAGUUUCCCCACGGUCAGGCCUCUGGGGGAAAAAAAAAACAUGUGUGGGAACAUCCAUUCUGCCCGAUUGCUGCUGCUUCUACUUGCUUCAGCAGUGGGAGAGAAUAGCACAUUAUGCCAGUACCAAGAGAUCACCAACAAGAACAGCAGCAGCUGUGGAGUGGAGCUAACCUGAGCCUGGGAGACAAUGAGCGUAAGGGGGGUAACCAACCUCCAACCUCGGGAGAUAUGCUGGGCACUUACUACAACUGAAGUCCUUACCUGGGAAGAUCCAGUGGCCCUGUGGACUGAUACUUCUAUUACAGCCCAAGCCAUGGAAGAGUUCCCCAUUCAUUUACAUUAACAGCAGAGGCUUCUUCAUUAAAAUGGAAAUGAUAUCUACUAGAUCGAAGAGAACUCAGCCCUAAUUGACUGUCACAAUUACAUGAGGAAACAUGCAUGGACUCUGCUAUUAUGCUGAACGUAUUAAGCCCUCCUCCCAAACGGUCUGCCUUUUGUGACAUGCAGAAAGUAAAAGGAACGAUCUCUUUUUACCUAGAGUCUGUACACGGGGUAUAAGGAAGCAAAUCUCUCAGGACUAUUAAAAUAAAAACCACAACUC